rnacentral:rRNA from 1 species
AUACGGAGGGUGCAAGCGUUAUCCGGAAUCAUUGGGUUUAAAGGGUCCGUAGGCGGUCAAUUAAGUCAGAGGUGAAAUCCCACAGCUCAACUGUGGAACUGCCUUUGAUACUGGUUGUCUUGAGUUAUAGUGAAGUAGAUAGAAUGUGUAGUGUAGCGGUGAAAUGCAUAGAUAUUACACAGAAUACCGAUUGCGAAGGCAGUCUACUAACUGUUGACUGACGCUAAUGGACGAAAGCGUGGGGAGCGAACAGGAUUAGAAACCCCAGUAGUCC